rnacentral:rRNA from 1 species
CUUCUUGAACUAAUUAGAAGUCGUGCCUGCCCACUGAAGAAUUUAAAGGGCCGCGGUAUUUUGACCGUGCAAAGGUAGCAUAAUCAUUAGUCUUUUAAUUGAGGGCUGGGAUGAAUGGUUUGACGAAAUAAUAGCUGUCUUUUGGAUAUUAUUUGAAUUUUACUUUUAAGUUAAAAGGCUUAAAUGUUAACGGGGGACGAGAAGACCCUAUAGAUCUUUAUUUAUUUAAUGGUAUUUAUUUUUUAGUUGUUUUAUUAUUUAUUGUUGAAUAAAUUUUAUUGGGGUGAUAUGAGAAUAUAAGUAACUUCUUUUAAUUUAAGCUUUAAUGUUAGGGUUUUAUGAUCCUUUAUUAUGGAUUUAAGAUUAAGAUACCUUAGGGAUAACAGCGUAAUUUUGUUUGAGAGUUCUUAUCGACAACAAAGAUUGCGACCUCGAUGUUGGAUUAAGAUUAUAUGUUGGUGUAGAAGUUAAUAAUAUUAGUCUGUUC